UACGUAGGGGGCUAGCGUUGUCCGGAAUCAUUGGGCGUAAAGAGCGUGUAGGCGGUCCGGUAAGUCCGCUGUGAAAGUCGGGGGCUCAACCCUCGAAUGCCGGUGGAUACUGUCGGGCUAGAGUGCGGAAGAGGCGAGUGGAAUUCCUGGUGUAGCGGUGAAAUGCGCAGAUAUCAGGAAGAACACCCGUGGCGAAGGCGGCUCUCUGGUACGUGACUGACGCUGAGACGCGAAAGCGUGGGGAGCAAACAGG
rnacentral:rRNA from 1 species